GGCCCAGUUGGCUAAGGCGCGAGACUGUAAUGGUAAUUGUAAUCUUGAGAUCGGGUGUUCGACUCACCCUCA
rnacentral:tRNA from 1 species